rnacentral:misc_RNA from 1 species
AAUUAGGGUUGAACCCUAACAAUCGCCUUUACUAUUUUUAUGAAUGUGAUAUAGAUUAUACACUAUAGAGCCGUGAUUAUAAUUUUUUUGUCAUAUACUUCUAUAUGCACUUACUAUUUCUUCUUCGUUUUGUGGUUCAAGUGCUUCUCUUCUCUUUGAAUAUAUUUCUGUCCCAUAGGUGCUUGUGAAGAGUUAAUAAUUGCAGUGGGAACUUGGAAACACACAACUCCAUUGGAAGUUGUAUAAAUUAUAUUUUAAAUUUUCAUCAGUUCCCUGUUUCAAUGAUAAAGAAAACAAGGUGGGCAGUGAUCAAUUGCUUUUUUCAUUUUACUUUGCCUCACAAUUGUUGAUUCUAGCAUCAAUCAAAG